GUGGGCGUAGCUCAGUUGGUAGAGCAUCAGGUUGUGGCCCUGAGGGUCGUGGGUUCAAGCCCCAUCGCUCACCCUCCA
rnacentral:tRNA from 2 species